GCAGUCUGCAGUACAUAGAGGAGAGAUUUCACUCACAUUGGAAGCUGAACUGGAGCAGAAACAGCGCUGCGUGGAACGAAUGUGGGCCAGAACAUAAAUCCAUGCUGCCUUACAUCCUUUGUUGUAACCCACCCUGGGACCUUGUGGUGAAAGGCAGCUACAGAACAGUAGUAGUAAACCAUCGGUAGAAGCAACAGUGCUAAGGAUAAAACGUUGGCGUAAGUUUCAUCUCCGUUUUCUUUCGUUUUCCCUCACUGAGUUUAUCAGACAGCUUGGGAUAUAAGGCAGAAACAAAACAAAAAGCAAAAGCAAAACACAACCCUGGCACCCUACAUGAAUUAAGACUUGAACCAACCGUUGUUGUUGUUUGUGUGUGUUUACAAAAAGCGGGAAACGGAGAGAUGACAGAGACUUGAAGUGUGAAGAAGCUACCGUAGCAACAUUUUUUAAAAAAACAAACAAAAGACAACCAGAACAGCAAAAAGCAUCGCUUCC